AGGGAUUUAGCUCAGUGGUAGAGCGCUUGCCUAGCAAGUGCAAGGCCCUGGGUUCAGUCCCCAGCUCUG
rnacentral:tRNA from 1 species